AGACAGUGCGGUAAAGCCAAGGGAGAUUAUCCAGACCCCCAGGAGCGAACAGCAAGCAGCAACCGAAGGCGCAAGUGCCAGGAUUACAGCCUAGGCUGCUCCAACUAUGAGCCCUUCCUCGGACCCUGGGACUCGGCUACUUGGGGUUUGGGGGUCUUCCACACCACAGAGGCACAAAGCUGACUUUAAUCACUUUUUUUCCUUUAAACUUGAUUCUGCCGCAGUGGAGCCAGCACAGCGGAUGUUUUCACACCCAGCAAGACAAAGGCCGUCGUCUCCGCCAUGACACUGUUCCGUUCCAAGCAGAGGCCGGGAUUCUGGACUCCUCGAAAAAUCAAAAAGAAACAAGGAAAACAAACAACAAAUACAGCAACAAACAGAAAAAACUGAAAACCACCAAAAUCGUUUGCCCGUUUGCCCGUGCCAGGGGUGAUCUGGGCAUCUGUUGCAGCAGAAGGCGCUUGUGUGGGGCUAAUUUUUCUUUUGGUGGGGGGGACAAGCUGUUGGCUUGUUUGCUAUUUCAACUUCGUUUAUAAUUAACUUAAAAAAAACCCCACCAUUCAGCCUAGUCAACAACAAACAAAGAAAAAGCAGACAUCGGAAGAGAAAUGCCAUAGGAAGCGGCAUGAAUACAUGCCACAGCCGGUGCCACUUGCCACUCGGAAAACCUCAGGGAAAGAUGCCAAUUCUACAGCUGCGAAGAAGGCAGAGAAAGGAGGAUAAAGGUCUACAACUAGAAAUCAUAAGGAAAGAAUACUGCUUGUAUAAUCCUGGAUUGCAAUUGCACACAGCCUCUGCUGGGAGAAGAGAGGGAAUAUUUAAAUGGAGAUAUAGAUGGGUAUAAAUUAAAAGAUAGGCACCUAUCGAUUGCGUAUAAACACAUGUGUAAGGUUGUAUGUGUAUAUAAAUAUGCAUAUUUUCAGACAAACGUUUAGAUAUGUAUAUAUUUUGUGCUACAGGUAUGGGUAUGUAUAUAGGUGUAUAUGUUUAUGCAUAUACACACAUAUGUAGGAUGUAUGCAUGUGUGAGAAAAAGGAGGGAGAGAGAGGAGAGAGAAGGAAAUAUGUGUAUGUGCAUGUAUGUGUAUGCAUACAUCCCACUUUUUGACCCAGGUAUACACAGAAGACAAAAUAAAAAUCAUACUCCAGCAGCAAGCAGGCAGCCAGAGAUUUAUCUACAUUCACUGCUAUCACCAGGGAGAUGAAUGGGGCCGAUCUGAAGCCCUUUUACAAGAUCCACUAUGGGAGUGAAGGAGGAGGAGGGAUGCCACACAGACAUGCACAAACUUGAAGGCAGAGCGAUUUGGAAGGGGCUACUGAGGAAACACUGGUGGCAUAACGCAGGGGAGAAGAAGGGGAAAGAGGCUUGUCUCUCUCUCUCUAUGUUUUAGGUGGUUGUUUUUAAAAAAUCUGCAAAAGGGUUUCAGGGAACGGCUGGUACUUACGUUGUCUGCGUUGCUGUGGAUCCUGAAAGGUGUUCUGUUGGCACCGGGCGCUGAGCCAGGGGCAGGCGCUGGAAACAAAAGGGAGAGACAAAAAAAUAAAGUGAUUCAAUGGGAAUAUUAAUUGCUGCUCUUGUGGAUUUUACAAAACACAUAAACUGUUUUCUUUUUCUUUCUUAAAAAAAAAUGUGGAUUGGCGCGUGUCCCUUUUGCAUGGAAUAUACAAGUAGUAUGGGAUUUACAGCCCAGUUACGGGACUCAGGAUUAGCUGCGCUGGCAUCUUUUGGGCAUAUUCUUCCUUUUAAUGAAUGAGCUUUCGCUGUUAAUGAGGAAUAAUCGUUUGGCUAAUGAGCUUUGAAACAUUAAGAGAAAAGAGGUUUUUUCCGUUAAUCGCUCUGGUGCGACUGCAUGGAUGGAUUACAAAAGACAGCAAUAGGAACGCAGUACAAAGGGGGGGACCUCUCCUGCAGUGGGAGAAGCACCGAGAUGGGUGAUGUGUCCCUGCGUCUUUCCUUCCUUCUCUCUUUCGCUCUCUCUGCCAACUGCUAUGGGUUUCCAUAACUCUGCAAUCAAAGUGGAUGGUCGGGAAGGAUUAUUACACAGAGUGAAGCCUCCGCUGUUAAUGUCUCCAGUGUUUAAUCAUCAUACAGUAGAAUGGUUUUAUGCAUAUUUCAUUUGCAUAUCAUUAAACUGUGUUAGUGAGGGGCAUUCAGAACCAGGAGAAGUACAAAGUUGGGGAGAGAGGGAAGAAAAAAAGGUCCCUAUGAUGCUUAUCUUCAAACGGGGACUUGUUCCAUGAUCUGUCUUCUACUUUUGCUAAAAUCAUUAUGACUUGGAAACCUUUGAAGUUGGAUACAACCUUGGAUUCUUCUAAUUCCUGCAGAGCAGUGUAUUUUACAAAACAGCAGAAAUGUUCCUGCACUAGACAAUUAAAGGAAUAUAAACUCCAGUGGGCUGAAACUAGUAGCUCUUUGGGGAAUGCAGUAGCAGAGGCUUCUACAAAUACCAACACUUAAAAAUAUAUAAUAAACAGCAUCAUAUUAGAAACAAAGAAAACGAAGACAAGAAAUAUUAACACGUGGAUUAUAUUUGUUUCUUUUGGGGGGUAAUGAACUAAAGAGAAUGAAGAAGCCAUCGGUAAUUUAUCCCUUCAUUAAUGAACAGUCACCUUUUUGUAUGUGUUUGUUUUUGUCCUUUCUUUUUGAAGAGGGAUGUUGUUACUUUUGAAGCAAUUAGUCAAUUAUUUUGUAGCUCUGAUCUUUUCCCCCUGCACCCGACAGGACAGAAAGGUGGUGGUUAGGGAAUAUGUGAGUACUUGGGGAGGGGGGGACUUGGUGGGGAGAGAAAGAAUACAGUGAGUUCUUUGUAGAUCUUAUACAUGCACAACAUAUUAAUUGGGGGCUUUUAAAGCUCCCUCAAUGGGCUAUUUCAUUCCUGGUAAAACAGCAGCUGGUUAGCCACUACUGGUGACUCUUCAAAUAUUACUUCAUUUUUAUUCUGUCGCCGUUGUUGUUGUCUUGCUUUGUUUUUCCUCAGUUAAGAAUGAAAAUGUAGUAUCACCCCCUCUUUAGUGAGUCUCUUCUCCAUCUUCUUCACUCCAAUUUCCAAACUGUAAAACAAUGUUGGCUUAAUACUGAGUCCUGGUGCACAGUCUAACUGGCACAACUUGAUUUGGAAAUGAGAUGCUGCUUUAUAUUUAAAUUACCCCGGCUCCCCCCUUAUCCUCCAAAGCUUUGUCUCUGUUAUGAAUAUGCAGAUGAGGCCUGAUGUGAUUACACUGUACAAUUACUCCUAUCCAUGGUGGUGUCAGGGGCUGCUAGGGAGACAGAGAGUCAGACAGCCUCCAAGCCAAUACAGAGUUUUGUUUUCGGUAUUUUUCCUAUCUCCUUGGCACUGCGGCACAUGCAGAUGUCGCUGUUGUUCUUUAUAAAGCCCUAAUGUAUGCAAAAGCAUAACGAUUUGGUUUGGACGCAAAGCAUCAACGAAAUAUUAUGGAUGUCUUCAAGAAAGGGGGAGAGAAAAUCCUGACUGAAGGAAUGUCCACAUAAAUUAUUUUUAUUUAAAUGAAUUCAAAGGAUGGGAUGAGGGCAAGUCAGACGGAGUCGCGUGGAAAACAUGAAUAAUAUUAAUAUGCAUAAAGAAUUCUCACCAACGAGGAGAAGCUCCUCACUACAGCUCUUGGGACAAACAGGUUCAUUAGGAAACAGCUCAGAGCGACUACAGCAUUUUGCUAUUUCAAUUUUUUCCCUUAUUUUAAAUGAAGAGUCAGACAGAUGUGUUUUCUUUGCAUGGCAGCAUUGAGAUGGAUCCAAUCUGCGAAAUUUGCUGCCCAAAUAGCAUUUCUAAUGGAAACUGGAACUAAACAAGGGCACGGAUAUGGGAGGGAGGGGAGAAGAGAGAAUACACGAAGAAGAGUAUAUUCAGAGCCACUGCAUGGCAUUUUGAGUACAGGAGGUUUUCAGGAACGAUCUUUGCUUCAUUAGUCUCCCCUGUGGGCUCCUGAUGUAGGGAGCUAUCAGGGUAUACCAAGAUGAGCACUGAGACAGGCCUUUCUAGGUCUGAGGCUGAGGAAAGCAGCGGCAACUUGGUGCCUGUCCCCCAGAGCUGUCUACAGUUCAGAAGCCAAAAGCACAGCUACUUCUAAUUUGGGGAUGCAGUAGAGUGCCUACUGAUCCAGGUAUUUGUGAAAGAUGGAAUUCUUGGUGCUAUCAUAGUAUACAUUGCUAAAGAGCAGAUGAAAUCGGCUGCUUAAGGAGGCCUGAUAAUAUUUAUGUUGGUUAAUUCUCAUGAUAAUGAUAACUGCACUUGUCUAGUAUUUUCAGAAUGUUAAAAUUACCAGUGUGGCUUAAUGCAUGUUUACAAUAAAUAGAGAGGGACAAAGAGUGAAUGAGCCUAUUGGGUGGAUUCAAAACUGAUAAAAUAUUUGGACUAUUACUCAUGGUCUCCAAGGAUUAACAAAGAAAGUCAAAGAAGCAGUAGUCGGAAAAAAAGAGAUUUUGUUACUUCCCUUGGGCAGGUGGACAGAGUUCAAAUUACUUUCAUAAUUCAGCUAAAAGAAUUUUAUACUUCAGUUGAAAUUACAUGAAGACAUUUUUGAUCUGAUAUACAUAUCUGCAUAAAUUUCUAUUAUGACAUCAUAACGUUGACCUGGAACUGGUCUGAUUAUAAGCAUGUUCUAAAUACUGUUGCUCUUCACCUAUAAUCUCUAAAACUUCCAUUUAUAAGUUUCUUUUAAGACUCCCCCUCCAAUAAUUUCCAACUGUUACACGAUUCUCAACUGUUGGUACAGUGUACAAAACUACAGAGUACAGUGAAUUGAUGAUUAUUUGGAGAAUGGCUAUUUAAUCUGAAUUAUUCAUAUUUAACCUCUUAUACUUUCCAUCUCUGUUGCCAGAAUUACGGAUAUAGAAUUUUGAAAGAAUACAUGUAAAGAAUUAAGCACAGUAUCUGCACAUAACAAGCUCUAAAUAAGUGUUAGAUUUUAUUACUGCUAUCAUUACUAUUAUUACUUCAGUGUGUUGGUUACCAUUUGAGAGAAAUAAGGAAAAGAAAAUAAAAUUCAAUUUAAAAUUCAACCUUUACUUUCACUAUUAAAUAGCAAUGCAGGUAAAAGGCUGAGUGGAAAAGCAUUAAAUAGAUAUUCAUGGUGAAUAGACUGUGAAUGAUCUGUAAUCAGAAGUCAAACUACAGCUUAUGUCAAUGCACACUAGACCCAUGAAAGAGUUCCAUUAAAAAUGUAUGUAUAAUUCUGAAAUUUUCAUGUUGCAUGACAUGAAUAGUCUGAUAAGAGAGUUCUAUCGUGGUUGGUAUGGAGGGUUUUGGGAACUGAAAGGUGCUCAUUAUUUAACUACAAUGAUGAAGCAAUGCCAACUUUCAGUCUUUUUUUUUACAAAAAUAAGUUAUAUUUUUGAAUAAGUAAUACAUUACAAUGAAGUAUCAAUAAUUUAAAUAAUGUAGAAAGGAAAAGGUCUCUGUCUUUUCCCUCUUCUACCCAUGAGUUCCUCACCCAACCCCCAAAUAAGUAAUCACUGUUACUGUUUUCUUGUUCAUUCUACCAGCUAUUAAUAUAUUAAGAAGAUAUUAAUAUAGUCUCUCUCCUAUAUCUUACACAAAUGAUACUUUUUACCAAUAUUCCUUAGAAUUUUCUGUCAACACAAUAAGUUCAUUUGUGACUAGACAGCUUCAUUUCCAGUAAUCGUGCCAAUUAUUCCUUUUUCCUUAUUUCAUUGGUGAGGACAUCUAGUACGAUGUUGAAUAGAAGUAGUGAUAGGUGAGUGUAAACAUCCUUACCUUGUUUGCAAUCUUAGGGGAUGUCACUGUCUUGUUC
rnacentral:lncRNA from 1 species